rnacentral:lncRNA from 1 species
UUCAUCCUUCCUUUAUCUAAGUAAAAUAUUAAUAAAAUAAUAUUUAACUAAUUAAUUAAAAAAACCACCAAAAUAUCAUCAACAUCAUUAUUACAUUCUAGAAUUCUCCCUGUUGCUAAUUGACCAUUUUACCCUUUAUGAUUUUUUAAAAUUCCAUCAUUGAAUUAUCACUUAAUUUGGUAAAAUUACGAUUUAGUCCCUCACAAUUCUUCACCUAUUCAAUUUGGUCCCUGUAGGCCUAUUCCAUAUCUUAGGAAAUUAGAUUAUUUUCACUUUUGGUCUUUCAAAAUUUUCAUUUUUACAAUUCAAUCCCCUAAAUUUUGAAUAUUUACACUUGAGCCAAAAAAAAUUAACAUAUUUACAAUUUAGUCCCUUCCUUAAUGCAUUAUGUCAUGCUUUUUGAUUUAACUCACUGUUGAUAUAUUUCAAGUUUCAUUUUCUUUGAUCUUAUACCUUAUUUCGGUAAGAUUUUAUCUCACAUUAUUUACGACCAAGGGGGUUUUGAGGAUGUUAUAGGUCACACGGCUGCGUGGCAGCCCGUGUCCCAGGCCGUGUGCACCAAAUUUUGCUUCAAAAAAAAGGUAAACUUUACACCUAACUUGGCCACCAAUCCAAACCUAAAAACAUAACCAAAAAUACUCUCAAACAAAUCAAAACAUACCAAUUACCUACAAUUCAUGUGCCUAACCAAUGUGCCAUUCAAAUGAACCUCAAACAAAGACUAAUUAUCUCAUAACCUUGUUAAAGAGCAUAUGACAUUAACCACUUUCUCAUCCUCAAUCAACAUUCACCAAAAUGACCAAAUAUAACCAAUAUUACCAAGUUCCAUUUUACAAAGUAUUUACCAAUUCACAUCAAUAAUAUACACAUCCAAAAGAGUCAAGCUUAUCAACAUGCUUAUUUCAAUCACAACUAUAUACAAACAUUUGUUUCAAGACAUAACAUAAUUUUAAAUUUUAUAUGACUUUCAAUAUAAGUAAAUUAUACUAGAUUCAACCAUAGACCUAAAGACUAUUAGUCAAAAUAUCAUUAUCCUAGGUACAUGCCAUGACACAAAAAGAAAUACGUCACAAAUGUUGAGUUCAAGAUUUGUCGUGGAUGCUGAGUCAUUGAAAAAAAGUUUGCGCCCAGCGCUAGUCGAAUGAAUCGACAAUGGUUUCCUGCACUUCCAACACAAGAUCAGAUAAUCUCUAUUCCAUCAUAUCAUAACUAAACUUCUCAAGUUUACCAAUAUUGCUCUUCAUCAACUUAUUCAAUUCAAUAUACAACCCAUAAUUAUACACAUAAAUCAUUUAUCCAUAACCAACCAUUUAAAACUAUUUACUCAAUCAUUCAAUUAUUCUAAUUCAAAGGACUUAAGCUUGGCCGAACUGUUAAACUAAGCUUUAUUUGAUAAAGGAUUUUGAUAUAACAAAUUAAAAGUAUUUUUGAAUGUAAGAUAAAAAUGAUAAAAUAUUUUUUAAAUUUGAAUUCUAAGAAAUAAAAAUAUGAAUAUUUACAAUAAACUCUUAGAGAAUUUUGAAACAAUUUUAAAAUCAAGUGAAAAUUAUUUUAACCAAGUUAAAAUGAUCUUAAUUAAGUUAAAAUCAUUUUAACACAUCAAAAUGAUUUUCAAACAAGUCAUAAUUAUUUCAGGCCAAAAAGUAUCGAUACCAUUUGACCAAGUAUCGAUAAUUUUUUUUGAAAUAUCGAUACCCUUAGAAAAAUCGAGACCAAAAAGACAUUCUAUCAAAACCCUAAAAAUUAUCGAUACCAUGUUUUUGGUAUCGAUACUUUUUGAAAAUAAUCGAUACCUUUCUUCAAAACGAUACCAAACCCUACAAAGUACUGAUCUGGUAUCGAUACCUAUUUUAGGAAGUAUCGAUAAAAUAUUUUUAAAGUAUCGAUUAUUUUAUUCCAAUAUCGAUACCCUUUUUGGAGGUAUCGAUACUCGCUGUUACAGGUGAAAUAAAUGUUCUGGUUUUACAUCCCCAACGGCCAUAUUAAGUUCACCAACAACCUCAACGGCUGUAAAUCUAUUAGAGGGUAUAAAUACCAUCUUUUAAAGUCCUACAACAUCCAAGAAAAUACUUUCAAGCAAAAAUCAUCAAUCAAACAACCUUAGAACUUAAAUUUUCAUAUUCUUCGUACACACACUUGUGAGUUUUAUCUUUAUUCUUUUGCUCAAGUGUAUCUCAUUGUAUUUGUGCUUCAAUUUGCAAACAAUUUUAUCUAUCUUGUAAGAAUUGUUUCUUUGUUUGCUCAUUUGUAUCUCUUUGAGAGGGCUUGAAACUUAAGAUUUGGGGUAGAAAUCUUAAGGAGUUGUAAGGUUAAACAUUAUUCUCAAAGGUUAGAACAAAUUAGUGAAUUUGGGAAAAUCCUUAGUGGUGAAAAGCUAAGGUAGUGGAGUAGGCAAUUGGGGCCAAACCACUAUAAAUUCUUUGUGUUCAUUGUUUCAUUCUUAGCUUUUCUUGCACCAAAUUUUUUAAAGGCCAAUUCACCCCCUCUUGGCAUUUUCGGUUUACUUCAUCAAGAUAUCAAUAAUAUUUCAUGCAAUUAAUACAAUUAUAAAACUUAAAUAAGUUGUUUUAUACAAUUCAAUCCUUCCAUCAUCAUUUUACAAAAUUACCCUGACAUUUUACCUUUCACGCAAUUUAAUCCCUAAGUCUUAUACUUGUAAAUUCACUAAACUUAAUCAUUACUCAUGUUGGCCGAAUAUUCUAGGGACCUAUUACAGCCCAUAUUUAUCAUUAUUUCACAAUAUUUCUAUGAAAUUUAACUAUUUUCAUAAAUAAGUCCCUAAACCAUAAAAUCACUAAAAAUCACUUGACAAAACUUGUUUAUUUAACCACCAAAUUUAAUAAUCUAUCAUCUAAAUUCAAAAUAUAUUCAAAAUAUAUCAUGGCAAGUCCCUAAAAUUUUAACAAAUUUAUAAAUUAACCCCGGGCUAGCUAGAUUAAGCUAAAAUGAGUUCAAAAAUAUAAAAAUUAUUUAAAAUGGAUAAAAAAAAUCAUACCAUGCAAAGGACUUAAGCUUGGCUGAACCUUGAGGAUGCAAAAAUGGUGGUUUUUCCUUCUUCAUUUUUGGUGAUAUUGGAGAAGAAGAUGAUAGCUUUCUUUGAUUUAAUCUUGUUUUAAUUUAAUUUAUUUAAUUACCAAUUUACCCUUAGUAUAAUAACUAAUAACUACAAGAAUUUGUCCAUAAAUGUCCACUUGCCACCUUUGUGGUUUAUUUACCAUAUAAGCCCAUUAAUUAUAGAUUCCAUAUCCAUUUGACCCAUUUAGCAAAUAGAAUUCCACUUUUGCAACAUUUACGAUUUAAUCCUUUUUACUUAAUUAACUAUCUAAACCUUAAAAAUUCUUUACCAAAUUUUAAUACAACCUUAAUAACACUCCGUAAAUAACGAGAUCUCGAUAGCUCAUUUUUUAAAACCACUUGAACCUAACUAUUCAUUCAAACAAUAUAAAUUAUUAAAUCAAAAUUUAUUACAACACUAUAUUUGACUCGUAAAUAUUAAAUAAUAAUAUUUACAGACUCGUUUGUCGGAUUUGUGGCUCCAAAACCACUGUUUUCGAUACCACUGAAAAUGGGCUGUUAUAGUAUAUUUUUAUAUUAACUCUGUAAAUAUUCUUAUUUCAUAUUUACGGACUUGGUUUACGGAAAUGGAGUUUCGAAAUCUUUUUUUCUACACCACUAGAAUUCGAGUCGUUACAUCGUAUAAGGCUCGUUUAAGAUUGUAUAUCAUGUCAUAAUGAUGUUCUGGACUCAGUAAUAUGUAUUAAUUGUUAAAUUGAACUGUAAUCGAUCGUAGUUGUUCUGAUAACGUAUGUGACAUUUUGUAGCUCAGACCUGGUGAUUGGGUCACUAUGGGGUGUUGCAACAAUAUUUAUUCAAUUUGAUCUCUACUCUUUUAUUAGAUAUAAAUUAGAAAUUUUGAAACUAAUAAGGCUAAAGGAUAAAAAAAGGCCAUAAUAACAAUUUUAAAAAAUCAAUUAAGUCCUUUUAAAAUUUAAAAUUUAUUAAAAAAUUAAAAAAUUUAUAAAAAAUUUUAUAAAAAAUUAAAAUUAUAAAAUUUUCAUUAAAAAAAAUAAUACCAACCCAUUAAAAUCUAAUGGUUAUAAGUUUUUUUUUAAAAAUUUUGAUCCUUACUCUUUUAUUGGCUUGGUAUUGUUAUUUUUAAUAAAAAUGUAAUUUUAAUUUUUUUAACUUUUUAAAUGAUUUUUUAAAUAAUUUUUAAAAUUUAAAAGGUCUUAAUUGAUUUUUUUAAUUUGUUACGAACUGCUUUUUGAUACUUUAUCCUUAUUAGUUUAAAAAUGUUCUAAUCUACUUCCAAUAAAGGAAUAUGAGUCAAAUUGAAUAAAUAUGUAAAGGUUGAAGGCUAAAUUUUUUUUUAUUAUAUCUUAUAUAUACACACCAAAACAAACAUUUGACCAUGCAAUUUUAACAAAAGGGCUAUUUUGCUCACCCGUCUAACAUUUUGGUGAUACUUUUACCUUCUAUCCCGCUUAUUUAUAUGAAUAAUAAAACAAUAUUAUUUGAUUUAUUUUUAUUAAGUUUAAAGUAUUAUUAAAUAUAAAUAUAAAUAUAAAUUAACUAUUUAUUAAUUUUAUAAACAUCAAGUAGACCAAACAAAUUUACUGUAUAUAAACAUUUUAAUCUAAAAUUUUUAUGGCUAAAGGGCUUAAGGCCCUAAACUUUUUUUUUUUAAAUCAACUAAAAUUUUAUUUAUUUUCACUCAAUUGAGUCUUUAAACUUCAAAAUUACAUUUAACUAAUUCCUUUGGUCGUCAAAGGGUAAAUGCUGCCAUUUUGGGAGAUAUUUUCGUCAUGUGGCACGCCAAUAUUGUUUCACGUGGUGAAAUUUAGUGUUUUAUAUCUAAAAUUAUUCAAAAAGUAUUAAAAAUAUAAAAAUAUAGAAAAUAAAUAUAUAUUAUAAAAAUACAUAAACGUGAAAAAUUUUAUUAGAAAUUAUAAAAAAUAGAGAAGUGCAAAAAAUUUAUAUAAAAUUCACGUUAUAUGAAAUACGAAAAACUAAAAGAAGUAAAAAUUAAAAAAAAUUAAUAAUACAAAAAUAUUAAAAAUGAAUAAAUUUUACAAAAUAUUAUAAAAAGCAUAAAAAUAUUAGAAAAUAUAUAUGAAAAAAAUAAAAAUCAUUUUUUCAUUUGCACACUAACCAUCAUUUGACCCUCGAAACUAUUUGUUGUACACAUUUACUAUCAACCUUCCGGAGGCUUGUACCUUUCUUUCUAUCGUCAAUGUCAAGGGAGUGUUUUGAGAUGCAAAUUAAGGUAGGGAAAUAAGCUAAGAACACAAGGGACAAUAGAGGUUGUAUAUAAAAUUGUAAAUAUUUUUAAAAUUUGUAUCUUUUUUAAAAUUUUAUAUAAUUUUUAAAAUUUUCUAUUAUUUUUAAUAUUUUUUGCACUUUUCUAUAUUUUUAUAAUAAUUUUCUAUAUUUUAAAAUUUUCCAUAUUUUUAACAAUUUUUAUUUUUAAUUCAUAUAGUUUUAAAAUUAUUCAUUUUAAUAAUUUAUAUAAUUUGUAUAAUUUUUGAGACAUUUAUACUAUUUUUUUAUACUUUUUGCAUUUAUAUUUAUUUUUUAUAAUUUUUUUGUGAUUUUGAAUAUUUUAGUUUUUUAAUAAUUUCUUUUACGAUUUUCAGUAUUUUUUACCGAUUUUGAGAACAAAACAGCCCCAAAAGGGCAGCUGUUACCCCAAGGGGCUUAAUUAUUAUAAUUUUGAAGAUAAGGGGCUCAAUUGAGUGAAAAAAAAUAUAAGGGCUUAAUUGAUUUUUUUAGAAAAUUUCAGGGGCUUUUAGCUAUUUUUAUUAGUCAGGGUUUUUCAUUAUAAUACAUUUCAUUGCAACUGCUGCGUUUAAGUAUAAACAUAUUAAAGAAACAUGUGUAAUGAAUAAAAAAGAAGAAUUGGGUCAAAGCUACUCUUCUUUGCAAGCAAAAGACUAGUAGGUAGCAGAGUUGAGCAUUUAAGAGCUUAUGCAUUGUACAGAUUCCAUGUAUUUCAUUUUAUAUUUGAAUUUACAAUCAUUGAACAAAAGAUAAAAUAGAUACAACAAAAUGCCAACAUGAUCCUUGUGAUUAAUGUUAGCAACAGUUGAUUGAUCCUUUAUGAACUUAGACCUACCUUUAAUCAAAAAAAAUAUAGUGAGGUUAAUGUUUAUAGAUUUGUAAAGAAGAGAGUUGGAUGCAUCAUUUUGAUAGAUUAUAUAAUUAUAACCUAAUUGAUCAACUAUUUUCAAUGGUAAAUUAGAUGUAAAAUGUUGACUGUUAGAUUCAUCUCCAGCAACUAUCCCUACUCACAAGUCAACUGCACCCAAGUGUGAACAGCAGACGGGCAGGGCAUAACCACCAAAAUAGUUUGGUCUUUAUUUCUCAUGAAACUAAAUAUUUUUCCAUAAAACAUUUGAUUAAUUCAUAAGAUACCCUCAAAAACAUUGUUUCCCCCAUCUUCUUUGGACAGUUCCAGUGUUAUUUUGGUCACUUGCAAAGAAUGUUGUAGAGCUGACUGGUAGGCAUGGCUCAGUUAGCAUUAAUUUUCCACCUUAUAUACAAUACAAAUGCAAGAUUAAGAUCAGAUAUCACUGGCAACCCCGUUGAAAAAAUAUGGGUUUCCAAAGAAACAUAUUGGGUUUCCUUUUCUUGAUAUUGGCUUCACUAACAAGCCUCUCUUCUAGCCUUCCUAGUGAAUACUCCAUAGUGGAACAUGAGAUUGACGCAUUUCUUUCGGAGGAAAGGGUGUUGGAGAUCUUCCAACAGUGGAAAGAAAAGCAUCGGAAAGUGUACCGGCACGCCGAGGAGGCUGAGAAAAGGUUUGAAAAUUUCAAGGGGAAUUUGAAGUAUAUCCUAGAGAGGAAUGCAAAGAGAAAAGCAAACAAAUGGGAACAUCAUGUGGGAUUGAACAAGUUUGCUGAUAUGAGCAAUGAGGAGUUCAGAAAAGCUUACUUGUCAAAGGUGAAAAAGCCCAUCAACAAAGGGAUAACCCUGUCAAGGAACAUGAGGAGAAAGGUGCAGUCUUGUGAUGCACCCUCAUCCUUGGAUUGGAGGAACUAUGGAGUUGUGACUGCUGUCAAGGACCAAGGUUCUUGUGGUAAGAAAAUGCCCUACAUAUAGUGUAAGUUCCCCUUUGAGAAAAAACCUGAAUAACUGUGUCCUAUGUUUGCAGGAAGUUGUUGGGCAUUCUCAUCAACUGGAGCCAUGGAAGGAAUCAAUGCCUUAGUUACUGGAGACCUAAUUAGCCUUUCAGAACAAGAACUUGUAGAUUGUGAUACCAGCAACUAUGGGUGUGAAGGAGGAUACAUGGACUAUGCUUUCGAAUGGGUUAUAAACAAUGGCGGGAUCGAUAGCGAAAGCGACUACCCCUACACUGGUGUGGAUGGCACAUGUAACACCACCAAGGUCUGAUUCAUUUUUGUUUCAGUAGUUCAACCAGUUCUUCCUCUAAUUCUAAUGUAUUUGUCUUUAAUCAGGAGGAAACCAAGGUUGUAUCUAUUGAUGGCUAUCAAGAUGUAGAGCAAUCAGAUAGUGCUCUUUUAUGUGCCGUUGCUCAGCAACCUGUUAGUGUGGGAAUUGAUGGUUCCGCCAUUGAUUUUCAACUUUACACUGGUGUAAGUAUUUGUUUGGAACCUGGAAACUUUUUGUUUAAAACGAAAUUUUUGGGGUAAUGAAAUUCGUAUGGCAUGAUGCAUGAAUAGGGAAUUUAUGAUGGGAGCUGCUCGGAUGAUCCAGAUGACAUUGAUCAUGCUGUUUUAAUAGUUGGUUAUGGUUCAGAAGACAGUGAAGAGUAUUGGAUAGUGAAGAAUUCAUGGGGAACAAGUUGGGGGAUAGAUGGAUAUUUCUAUCUAAAAAGAGACACUGAUUUACCAUAUGGUGUUUGUGCUGUCAAUGCCAUGGCUUCUUAUCCAACUAAACAAUCCUCUUCACCAUCCCCUUAUCCAUCGCCAAGUGUUCCUCCACCGCCACCUCCUUCAACUCCACCACCACCACCACCUCCAUCUCCUUCACCAAGUGAUUGUGGAGACUUUUCCUAUUGUUCAAGUGAUGAGACAUGCUGUUGCCUUUUUGAAUUCUAUGAUUAUUGCCUAAUAUACGGCUGCUGUGAAUAU